rnacentral:rRNA from 1 species
CACGGGGGGAGCAAGCGUUGUUCGGAUUCAUUGGGCGUAAAGGGCUCGUAGGUGGCUUUGUAAGUCGGAGGUGAAAUCCCACGGCUCAACCGUGGACACGCCUUCGAAACUGUGAAGCUUGAGGCUGGGAGAGGAGAUCGGAAUUCCUGGUGUAGCGGUGAAAUGCGCAGAAUAUCAGGAGGAACACCGGUGGCGAAGGCG